rnacentral:rRNA from 1 species
UACGGAGGGGGCAAGCGUUAUUCGGAAUCAUUGGGCGUAAAGGGCGCGUAGGCGGCUUGGCAAGUCAAAGGUGAAAUCCCUCGGCCUAACCGAGGAACUGCCUUUGAAACUGCUUGGCUUGAGGCCGGGAGAGGGUAGCGGAAUUCCCAGUGUAGCGGUGAAAUGCGUAGAUAUUGGGAGGAACACCAGUGGCGAAGGCGGCUACCUGGACCGGUUCUGACGCUGAGGCGCGAAAGCGUGGGGAGCAAACGGG